CCCUCAGCCAGCAGUGGACAGUCUGCACCGAAUAUUAUUACAGCUGCGCAGAAGCAGCCCAACGUCUUUCCUGCAAUGUGACUUCUACAGGCCUGCUGUGGCAUCCCAGUGACAUCCAGGAAAGGUCCCCCCUUCAUCUUGACACCAAAUGCUGGAGUGCAGCAGCAUGAUUUCGGCUCACUAGAAC